CUCACCUCUGUUGCAAUAUCGAGCUAUAACUCACCGCUGCUACCAUCGUUCUCCAUCCAUCUCUCUCUCCAGUUCAUCUCACCGACUACCACCUACGACAAAGAAAAUCGCUGUGAUCUUCUCCCUCUCCCUGAAGCUGCACCGCCUGCCUGAGCUGGAACCACCACCGUCGGGCUCGGCCAGGACAAGGUCAAGGUUUUCGGUCGCCGGUGCUCGACCAAGAAAUUCGUCGUCUCCUCUGCCCCAUCUUCGAAUUUGAAGGUAAAAAUGGAAUCACCUUCUCCUCCCAUAGGUUUCCCCUCACUUUCCCCAUUAAUUUCGUCGCCGGAGUUCGCCGGCGCCGCUGCCGCCCAGCCGCUCUGUUUUGCUGCCGCCGGCUGCGUGGCGUCGCGCCGCUCCGUACCCGGCCACCAGCCCCGCUACCACCGCCUCCCUCCCGCGGAUCUCCCUGGCUACUGCGCCCCUGAUGAAGAUCGCCGGAGCGCCGCUGCCGCAUCCUCCUCCGCCGCCCGGUGCUGGUCACCGUCGCCGGCCUCGCUGGCUACCUCCUGACUGCCGCAACCGAGGGGAAAAGGUCCCCCUCGGCUCCCUAGUCCUGGAUCCGGCGCCCCUUGGCCAGAGCCGGCCCUCCCACCGCCGGCAGCCCUCCAUCCAGUCUGCCUUCCCCCUGUGACCGAAGGAAGAAGAAGAAAGAACGAGAAAGAAGAAAGGAAAAGAACGCACAGAAAGAAGAAGGGAGGAGAGAGAAAGGAGGACGAAAAAAAAAGAGAAAAGAAAAAAAAGAAGAAAAGAAAAAAAGAAAAGAAAGGAAAGAAAAAAUAAUAAUAAGAGGAGAAGGAGAAAAUAAAAUAUUUAGAGUCCAUCCUAAUUUCUUUUUCUAUUCAAAAUAAAUUCAAAAAUUAUUCCUUUCUCUAAUUUAGAUAAUUAUUUGACCUUCAAAUUUCGGAUUUAAAAUCCGGAACCAUCAACCGACUCCUAGAGUCAUUCUAAAUUCAAUGCCGACAGUUUUAUCGCCAUCCGAAAUUUCGAAGGCAUAACCCUAAAUUACACCUAGGGUUACUAUUCAUCCUAAAAUUUCUAAAAUUCAUUUGGAGCCAUUCUAAACCCCCUUUGAAUCGCUAAUCUAUCUUUCUAACUCUAGUUUUGUCUUUCUUUAUUUCUUUCUUUCGUUUAUUUAUAGAUUUUGUUUAUAGGCUUAUUUGGUAUGUUAUUUCGUGUGUGUGCAAUAGAUCGACCCAAAGCCGUCGCUGACCCCGUAGGAGCUGACAUGGAUCCUGAAGGCUACGUUGAAACUUCAGAAGACUACGUUGUGCAAGGCAAGCCACGAAACCAUCCUUUAAUCAUCUUGAGAACCUAAGUAGAGAACCACUUAGUAUUUUAUGCAUUAUUUAAUUGUAAAUACUAUUUUGGCGUAUGAUUUACUUUUGAAAUAAUAUUGUUACAUUAGUUACUGCCUUUCUAUAUACUUGUUAUUACAACCAAUACUUUGAAUUGCUACGUCUUGUACCUUGAUAGUCUAGGUAUAGCUGACCACGUUGUGCAAGGCAAGCCACGAAACCAUCCUUUAAUCAUCUUGAGAACCUAAGUAGAGAACCACUUAGUAUUUUAUGCAUUAUUUAAUUGUAAAUACUAUUUUGGCGUAUGAUUUACUUUUGAAAUAAUAUUGUUACAUUAGUUACUGCCUUUCUAUAUACUUGUUAUUACAACUAAUACUUUGAAUUGCUACAUCUUGUACCUUGAUAGUCUAGGUAUAGCUUUGUUCACAUCAGAAUAACAUUGUAGUGGAAAAUACCAUCAAACUUCUAUACACAUACAUCUGUUAUGCCCGUCGUCACAUGAUGACGCUAUCGGGCUGCAUAAAAUAUUGUUUUGAUAUAAAUCACUCGCUUGAGUGAUAUGGAAGGUAACUCCGGGUGAAGGUUGGUGUUCUUGAUAUUAUGACAUGUAUUACUGUGUUUGUUAUAUGCACGUGCUGUGUUAAUUUAAUUGUUUCCCCGGAUAUAAGGAUAAACCCUCUUAUACCAUGGAAAGUGAUAUAAUUUGCACCCAUCCACAGGACCGAGUAAUCGGACUUAACCUAGUACGUGGUCUCACUAUAUGAAAACGACUGUUAGAGGCUCGAGGAGCGUAUAGGAGUGGACAUGUGUAAGGGGCCACGGGUCAAGUUGACAUGAUCUCACAACAGUGGCACCCGUGAAAGUAGCCUACUAUGCCUUGCUUGUGGCCGAGCAAGCGCCCGACUGCUAGGACGGACGAUAUCCCAUUGGGCGGUACUAGUAGUAAUUGGGACUAAUGAAUGGUUCUGUUAUCUCGACUCUGAUCCAGUUGUGGUAUCGUGUGGGUAAAGUUGGGCAGACGUUGCAGAGUCGUAUUGUAUUCGAAUACGCCAUGCUCCCGGUUAAUGGAGAUGUGUCAUUGGGUGAUUCCUAUUUCUUAUGGUAUGAGUAGAUUUUAAAAUUUAAAAUUUGGAUUGGAAUAAGAUGAAGAUGUUGGUGAUUAAUAUUGCUACAUUUUAAACUAGCGAUUUAUAAAUGUUUACCAAUAAAUUGUUUUAUCAAAAUAGGGAAAAACUAUUUAUAGUAGGCUUGUUAUCAACCGAUCUUGAUGCACCCUAUAUCCUCGUACUACUUGCAUGUAUUCUACUUAUAUUCUUGGAUUGUGGUUUGCUGGGUACGUUUGUACUCACCCCUUGCAUAUAAUGUGGUUCAGAGGAGCAGUUCUUCGCCGAAGAAGCGCCAGAAGGUGAAGAGUUCUUUUGUAGCGAGGAGUUCUUUUAGGUCGGCCUGCUCUCAGGCGUGCCUGUGGUGUUUAGUUGGGUUUUGUUUUUGGUUCUUUUGUUCGUAAGUUAGUCUGUUGUGUGAGUUUGGCUGUUUGGCCCUUAAAAGCUGUUGUAGUUGUCUUUUAUAUGUUAUUUCAUGUAAAAUAUACUGGUAUUGUAAUCGAAGUUGUUCUGUUUAUCAAUCUGUGUACGAUCGAA
rnacentral:lncRNA from 1 species